GUCGAGGGGCAGCAUUGGAGUAGCAAUACUUCAGAUGGCGACCGGCGCACGGGUGAGUAACACGUAUCCAACCUGCCGCUUACUCGGGGAUAGCCUUUCGAAAGAAAGAUUAAUACCCGAUGGUAUAAAGAGUUCGCAUGUUCUCUUUAUUAAAGAAUUUCGGUAAGCGAUGGGGAUGCGUUCCAUUAGAUUGUUGGCGGGGUAACGGCCCACCAAGUCUACGAUGGAUAGGGGUUCUGAGAGGAAGGUCCCCCACAUUGGAACUGAGACACGGUCCAAACUCCUACGGGAGGCAGCAGUGAGGAAUAUUGGUCAAUGGACGAGAGUCUGAACCAGCCAAGUAGCGUGAAGGAUGACUGCCCUAUGGGUUGUAAACUUCUUUUAUAAGGGAAUAAAGUGAGGGACGUGUCCCUUUUUGUAUGUACCUUAUGAAUAAGGAUCGGCUAACUCCGUGCCAGCAG
rnacentral:rRNA from 1 species